rnacentral:rRNA from 1 species
AACGAACGCUGGCGGCAGGCCUAACACAUGCAAGUCGAGCGCGUGCAGCAAUGCACGAGCGGCGCACGGGUGAGUAACGCGUGGGAAUCUGCCCUAUGGUGGGGGACAACCUCGGGAAACUGAGGCUAAUACCGCAUACGUCCUUCGGGAGAAAGACUUCGGUCGCCAUAGGAGGAGCCCGCGUCCGAUUAGCUAGUUGGUGAGGUAACGGCUCACCAAGGCGACGAUCGGUAGCUGGUCUGAGAGGACGGCCAGCCACACUGGGACUGAGACACGGCCCAGACUCCUACGGGAGGCAGCAGUGGGGAAUAUUGGACAAUGGGGACAACCCUGAUCCAGCCAUGCCGCGUGAGUGAUGAAGGCCUUCGGGUUGUAAAGCUCUUUUGGCGGGGACGAUGAUGACGGUACCCGCGGAAUAAGCCCCGGCUAACUUCGUGCCAGCAGCCGCAGUAA